ensembl:snRNA U4 U4 spliceosomal RNA
AGCUUUGUGCAGUGGCAGUAUCGUAGCCAAUGAAGUUUAGGCGAGGUGCGAUUAUUGCUAAUUGAGAAGCUACAAAUUCAGAUAUUCAGGUGAUAAUCUCCUAAAUGUUAAAUGUUAAUGACUUUCGUUCCAAGU